rnacentral:rRNA from 1 species
GACGAACGCUGGCGGCGUGCUUAACACAUGCAAGUCGAGCGGUAAGGCCCUUUCGGGGGUACACGAGCGGCGAACGGGUGAGUAACACGUGGGUGACCUGCCCUCAGCUCUGGGAUAAGCCUGGGAAACCGGGUCUAAUACUGGAUAUGACUCCAUGACGCAUGUUGUGGGGUGGAAAGCCUUGUGCGGCUGAGGAUGGGCCCGCGGCCUAUCAGCUUGUUGGUGGGGUGANGGCCUACCAAGGCGACGACGGGUAGCCGGCCUGAGAGGGCGGCCGGCCACACUGGGACUGAGACACGGCCCAGACUCCUACGGGAGGCGAGCAGUGGGGAAUCUUGCGCAAUGGGCGAAAGCCUGACGCAGCGACGCCGCGUGAGGGAUGACGGCCU